rnacentral:rRNA from 1 species
GAUGAACGCUGGCGGCGUGCCUAAUACAUGCAAGUCGAACGCAUUGUGGUUGAAAUGAUAUGAAGAACUUGUUCAGAUUUGAUUUUCAACAUUGCAAUGAGUGGCGAACGGGUGAGUAACACGUGGGAAACCUACCUCUUAGCAGGGGAUAACAUUUGGAAACAAAUGCUAAUACCGUAUAAUAAUUAAAACCGCAUGGUUUUAGUUUAAAAGAUGGUCUUGCUAUCACUAAGAGAUGGUCCCGCGGUGUAUUAGUUAGUUGGUGAGGUAAUGGCUCACCAAGACAAUGAUACAUAGCCGAGUUGUAGAGACUGACCGGCCACAAUGGGACUGAGACACGGGCCCAGUACUCCUACGGGAGGCAGCAGUA